rnacentral:lncRNA from 1 species
UUCAAUAGGUCCUUCUGGUGUAAUAAGCUUCACUUUGUAACUGGCCAUGCAAGUAAUCCUCCCAUUUCUACCAGAUUUAAGACCAAACAAAGCUUCACCAACAUUUGAUAUGGCUUUGAGGCUAGUCACAGCUGGCUUUCUUGGAAGGAAAGAAGUGCUAAUCAUUGUACCAGAAAUACUAGCCAUUUUUUACAAUUCUUUUCUUUUCUUUUCUUUUCUUUGCUCUCAAUUGUGAAAUGGGGAUUUGAACAAUGGCAAGGGCUUGGGGAUAUAGUGUGUUUUGGAGAAGGUUUAUCUUCCACGUGUCAACAUGCUGUGGUUAGCAUUAUCAGUUUAUCAACAUAGACGGGAUUCACCAGUCAUUUUGUGAAUGUCACGCUCACUCAAAAUCAAGCUUCAAUUUCAGCCCUUCAUUCUCAAAAUGGCUUGUGGCUUUAAUUUUG